AGCGAACGUUAGCGGCGCGCUUAACACAUGCAAGUCGCACGAGAAAGGGUCUUCGGACCCCGGUAAAGUGGCGCACAGGUGCGUAACACGUAGGCAAUCUUCCCUCAGGAGGGGGAGUAACUACCCGAACGGGAGUAGCUAAUACCGCGUAAGACCACGGUCUCCACGGAGACAGCGGUCAAAGGUGGCCUCUGCAUGCAAGCUACCACCAGAGGAUGAGCCUGCGGCCCAUCAGCUAGUUGGCAGGGUAACGGCCUACCAAGGCGAAGACGGGUAGCCGGUCUGAGAGGAUGAUCGGCCACACUGGCACUGAAACACGGGCCAGACUCCUACGGGAGGCAGCAGUGGGGAAUCUUGGACAAUGGGCGAAAGCCUGAUCCAGCGACGCCGCGUGGGUGAUGAAGGCCUUCGGGUUGUAAAGCCCUGUUGAAGGGAAAGAAAACGUUGGGCGCGAAUAGCUCCCGACCUUGACGGUACCCUUCCAGAAAGCACCGGCUAACUCUGUGCCAGCAGCCGCGGUAAGACAGAGGGUGCAAACGUUGCUCGGAAUUACUGGGCGUAAAGCGCGUGUAGGCGGGCCGAUAAGUCAGAUGUGAAAUCCCUGAGCUCAACUCAGGAACUGCAUUUGAAACUGCCGGUCUAGAGUGGUGGAGAGGGGAAGCGGAAUUCCUGGUGUAGAGGUGAAAUUCGUAGAUAUCAGGAGGAACACCGGUGGCGAAGGCGACUUCCUGGACACCAACUGACGCUGAGACGCGAAAGCGUGGGGAGCAAACAGGAUUAGAUACCCUGGUAG
rnacentral:rRNA from 1 species